GUGGGGAAUCUUCCGCAAUGGACGAAAGUCUGACGGAGCAACGCCGCGUGAGUGAAGAAGGUUUUCGGAUCAUAAAGCUCUUUCGUUAGGGACGAACGUGCUCUUUGUGAAUAAUGAGGAGUAAUGACGGUACCUAAAUAAGAAGCCACGGCUAACUACGUGCCAGCAGCCGCGGUAAUACGUAGGUGGCAAGCGUUGUCCGGAAUUAUUGGGCGUAAAGCGCGCGCAGGCGGGAUAUCAAGUCUGUCUUAAAAGUGCGAGGCUCAACCUCGUGAGGGGACAGAAACUGGUAUUCUUGAGUGUCGGAGAGGAAAGUGGAAUUCCAAGUGUAGCGGUGAAAUGCGUAGAGAUUUGGAAGAACACCAGUGGCGAAGGCGACUUUCUGGACGAUGUCUGACGCUGAGGCGCGAAAGCUAGGGGAGCGAACGGGAUUAGAAACCCGUGUAGUCC
rnacentral:rRNA from 1 species